rnacentral:rRNA from 1 species
CCUACGGGUGGCAGCAGUGAGGAAUAUUGGUCAAUGGGCGGAAGCCUGAACCAGCCAAGUAGCGUGCAGGAUGACGGCCCUACGGGUUGUAAACUGCUUUUAUACGGGAAUAACGCGCCUUACGUGUAGGCCUUUGCAUGUACCGUAUGAAUAAGGACCGGCUAAUUCCGUGCCAGCAGCCGCGGUAAUACGGAAGGUCCGGGGGUUAUCCGGAUUUAUUGGGUUUAAAGGGAGCGUAGGCCGCAUGUCAAGCGUGCUGUGAAAUGUCCGGGCUCAACCCGGGCCUUGCAGCGCGAACUGGCGUGCUUGAGUCCGCGGAAAGCAGGCGGAAUUCGUCGUGUAGCGGUGAAAUGCUUAGAUAUGACGAAGAACCCCGAUUGCGAAGGCAGCUUGCUGCAGCGGAACUGACGCUGAUGCUCGAAAGCGCGGGUAUCGAACAGGAUUAGAUACCCUUGUAGUC